CAGUUGGCUCGGACUGGGAACAAUGCCAUUACCAUCAAUGGUGAGGUGGGUUCUUUUUUAGGUCCACUAGGAAAUGCAGCAAGGGGAUCUCAUAUCCCCUCUUCUAUCAACCUAGCUGUUGAUGUCCUGGCGGGCAUCCUAGAUAAAGCCAGAUCGGCCGGCCACCUAAAAGGGGUGGUGGGCCACCUGAUCCCCGGAGGUGGUGUUACCCACUUACAGUAUGCAGAUGACACCAUGAUUUUGGUCGAGGGGUCGGACCUUGACAUCGUUAAUCUCAAGUUCCUUUUGGUUUUGAGGCCAUGUCGGGACUUAAGAUUAAGUUUGAUAAGAGUGAGGUGGUCGUCCUGGGAUACUCUGCGGCCGAGCAACGACGAAUUGCGAAUAACAUAA
rnacentral:rRNA from 1 species